rnacentral:ncRNA from 1 species
AAUGCUUAGGGAACGAAUAAGAUUAGAUACCCUAAUAGUGUUAGUCGUAAACGAUGGAUACUAAACGUUGUGUAUAUCGAUCAAUGCAAUGUUGUAGCUAACGCGUUAAGAAUUC